CCUUCGGGGCGCACAGGCGCGAAAACUUUACAAUGCGGGAAACCGUGAUAAGGGAACUCUGAGUGCCCGUAAAAUCGGGCUGUCCAUCAGUUUAAAUAACUGGUGAAGAAAGGGCCGGGCAAGACCGGUGCCAGCCGCCGCGGUAAUACCGGCGGCUCGAGUGGUGGCCACUAUUACUGGGCUUAAAGCGUUCGUAGCUGGUUUGUUAAGUCUCUGGGGAAAUCUUCCGGCUUAACCGGAAGGCGUCUCAGGGAUACUGGCAGACUAGGGACCGGGAGAGGUGAGGGGUACUUCAGGGGUAGGAGUGAAAUCCUGUAAUCCUUGAGGGACCACCUGUGGCGAAGGCGCCUCACCAGAACGGCUCCAACAGUGAGGGACGAAAGCUGGGGGAGCAAACCGGAUUAGAUACCCGGGUAGUCCCAGCUGUAAACGAUGCGCGUUAGGUGUAUCGGUGACCACGAGUCACCGAGGUGCCGAAGAGAAAUCGUGAAACGUGCCGCCUGGGAAGUACGGUCGCAAGGCUGAAACUUAAAGGAAUUGGCGGGGGAGCAC
rnacentral:rRNA from 1 species